UUGGACUGUUAAGAGUAAACCACAUUGCUGCUGGUUUGGAGUCAAGUGUGGGCCAUACCAGAAUUUGUCCUCAAGAGUCUGUCCCUGGGCACCUUUGUACCUGCAAUGGCAAUCAAUUUUGGCAAGCAACUGAUCACCAAGAGCUCAAGAUAUGUACAGAUUCUGCUCUCUCUGUGGAUAUGAACCAAGACCUGAGAAGACCAACCAGUGAAUGAAAGACUGGAAUCACUGUGUCCAUAAUUGUCAUGAUUUGGAGAUGGACUAUCACCUGAUGAAGGAGAGAUGCUCCGAAAGCUAGUGCUUCCAAUUAAACCUGUUGGAUUAUAACCUGGUGUUGUGUGAUUCAUAAUUUUCAUCAAAGAGUCAGGAGAAAUCGAAAGUGAACUGAAGGAAAGCAACUCACUGAUGCCUGUGAUCCCGACUGGUGCCAGAACUCUGCUUUACUGACUUUUUUUAUUCCUCCCCCAUCCAGAAUAUUUGUGUCCUAUUCUUUUUGAGUCUGUUUGUGUGAUUAUGGGAAGUUUUGUAAAGGGGCAGAGUUUAAGUUAUAAAAUGAAACGUUA